AACGAACGCUGGCGGCAGGCCUAACACAUGCAAGUCGAACGCGUCGCAAGACGAGUGGCAGACGGGUGAGUAACGCGUGGGAACGUACCCUUUGGUUCGGAACAACUCCGGGAAACUGGAGCUAAUACCGGAUAAGCCCUUCGGGGGAAAGAUUUAUCGCCAGAGGAUCGGCCCGCGUUAGAUUAGCUAGUUGGUGAGGUAAUGGCUCACCAAGGCUGCGAUCUAUAGCUGGUCUGAGAGGAUGAUCAGCCACACUGGGACUGAGACACGGCCCAGACUCUUACGGGAGGCAGCAGUGGGGAAUCUUGGACAAUGGGCGAAAGCCUGAUCCAGCCAUGCCGCGUGAAUGAUGAAGGCCCUAGGGUUGUAAAAUUCUUUCGACGGGGAAGAUAAUGACGGUACCCGUAGAAGAAGCUCCGGCUAACUUCGUG
rnacentral:rRNA from 1 species